rnacentral:tRNA from 6 species
GGAGAGGUGCCGGAGUGGUCGAACGGGGCGGUCUCGAAAACCGUUGUGGGGGCAACCCCACCCAGGGUUCGAAUCCCUGUCUCUCCGCCA